UACGAAGGGGGCUAGCGUUGCUCGGAAUUACUGGGCGUAAAGCGCACGUAGGCGGCUUUCUAAGUCGGGGGUGAAAUCCUGGAGCUCAACUCCAGAACUGCCUUUGAUACUGAGGAUCUUGAGUUCGGGAGAGGUGAGUGGAACUGCGAGUGUAGAGGUGAAAUUCGUAGAUAUUCGCAAGAACACCAGUGGGGAAGGGGGCUCACUGGCCCGAUACUGACGCUGAGGCACGAAAGCGUGGGGAGCAAACAGG
rnacentral:rRNA from 1 species